rnacentral:lncRNA from 13 species
GCUCUAUAUAUCAAUUUCAGGAGGAUCUUCUCUGAAGUACCACUGUUACUGAGGUUUUUCUUUUUCUUUGCAGGCUGUGCCUUCCUAACAUACUGCGAAAGGGAGUCUGCUCUAAAGGCCCAGAGCGCACUGCAUGAACAGAAGACACUGCCAGGGAAGGAGCUCCAAGGACUUCUGUAGCCCUUUGGUGAGAUGUGCAGUCUCCUGACUGAAGAGGCUCCAGGGUACCUGGCAUUUGACCUGCAGAGAAGAUUCACAGUAGUCUGA